AUCAACUCUGCAAAUAGAAUAUAAACUGUACAUCAUACAAAUAUUUGAAAUAUAAAGAUUACAGGACUAACAUCCACUCCAAAUUUAAUCAUAUAUAUAUGUAAUCAAUGAUACUGAUCAAUGCGAAAGAUGAAGUCAUCACUGUGAGAUCAAACAUCGAAACAUUUAUGGUAUAGUUGUUUAAGGACUGGGAGUUGAUUGAGGAGGUUUUGUGUCCUUGGCAAGGAAUGUGGGCUUUGGUAACUCUGGCAAGUGGGGAAAAGUUGGCAGUUCAGGUUUUGGUAACUCAGGCAAUUCAAGUUUUGGCAAAGUGGGAAUUUCAGGCUUUGGCAACUCAGGCAAUUCAGGUUUUGGCAGUGUGGGAAGUUCAGGCUUAGGGAAGGCUGGGACUUCUGGUAAUGGUGGAAGCUCAACCUUAGGCAGUGAAGGCAAUUCAGGCUUGGGAAGCUCAGAUACCUCAGGCAAUGCUGUUUUUAGAAGGUGUCGUGCAUCUACGGAUUGACAGAGUGAUAAGUGAGAGCAUAAUGAUGAGGGAAGGGGAGCGAUGAUCGGCCAAAAUGCGACAAGAUCAACCACCUGCAAAGUGAAUAGUAAUUAAAAUUUCUGGACAAUUUUGUUUUGCGUGUUGAUGUUCACUUAGUGUUGAGCUUUUAUAGAAGUGGGAAGUGGAGAAUGGAGAACCUUCAAUGGUAAUUUGGUGGGAAAACUUGUGUCCUGUUAGCUCAACUUCCCAUCUAUAAUCCUCCAACAACUGGCAUGACCCAUUAUAGGCUUCCAUACAAAAGUAAUCUUUCCGUCCUUCUACAUGGAUUCAAGAGAUUAGUUGGAGAGAACCACAGCUAAAAGAUUGACAUUAAGCUAAAAUAUGUUGUCAGAAAUCACAACACUUGUCAAGUUCAAGCAUUUUUACAAAUUUAAUAAUUCACCACCACUAAACUUUGACAAAUCUUCCUUUAUUGCAACGCUUAUUGUUAUUGUUGGAAUUUAAUGACUGACCGAUCCAAAUCUCCAUGCGAUGAAAGUGUUGAAUUCCAAUUUAAUAUGAUGGCCUCUUCUAAAAUACUUCUAGACAAUUUAAAUUAAAUUUCAAUUAACUUAUCAUAUUAUAAAGCUUAUUAUUAUCAAUGUCAAGACUACGUUAUGAAAAAUAUCUUUCAUAUUUUUUGUUAUUUGGAAUAAUGAGAAAAAUUAAUCAAUAAAAAUAUUUUCUUGAUUAAAGAAAAAAUUAAAUCAUUUUAAAAAAAUACUGCUUCUUGGCUCUUUCUUUCUCAUCAAUUCUAUUUUCCUGUUGUGCUCUUCCAACAAAUCCAUAGUCACCAACUUGCCCUUUGAAAUUUAAAUUAUUGGACGACAUCAUCAACGAGAAUUCUAGCAAAGUUCUCUAAUAUUUUCUUCAUCAAUGUUGAAUUUUGAGAGGGAAGGGGAAUAAUACAUAUGAAUGCGACUAAAUAGUCUUACAAUUUUAUUGAUUGUAUUGUUAUUUAUACAGUCAAAUAUAAUUAAAAAAUCUAAAUAAAAUUAUAAAUAAUUUAAAUAUUAACUUAAAUAUUAAUAAAUUAAAAUAAUGAUUCAAAUUUAAAUUAUAUGAUUUAGCAUAUUUUUCGGUUUCUAAAUCAAAUAUCCAACGAUCAAUUUAAAAUUUUAGUACUCAUAAGCCCUUGGUAUUAUUAGAAACUCUCUUACUAAAAUUUUUUAAUAAUUAUAAAUAAAAAAGUUUUAUUUUUCUUUCAUAAUAUUAGAAAUAAAACCAUAUCAUUUAUUUUAUUUAAUUUGUAAUCGAAUUAAAUCGGUUGUUCAUGAUUUUUUGAAAAAUUAGAUUUAAAAUAAAAUGGAUAAUUUUUUAAUUUUAGGCCAUCAAUAAUUUUUAAGUUCAGUAAUUCAUAAUACUAAAAUUUUUUAAAAAAAUUCACAACAACAAUUUAAUUUUUAAGUUCAGUAAUAAUUUCUCUUUGUGGCUCUGCAUGAAAGUGCUUGGAUCAUGAACUAUUAAAUAAGAUUGAUCAGUCAUACCCAAAAUCAAAUAAAUAAGCUGGAUCAACUCAGUAUAUAGAAAAUGAACUCACAAGAUACAUCAUUCAAACAACUGAAACAGAAAUAUUAUAGGACUACCACUCACUGCAAAUUAAUCAUGUAUAUGUAAAAGAAGAUAUAAAUGAUACUGAUCAAUGCGAAAGAUGAAGUCAUCACUGUGAGAUCAAAUAUAGAAACACUUAUGGUGUAGUUGUUUAAGGACUGGUGGUUGAUUGAGGAGGUUUUGUGUCCUUAGAAGGCAAUGUGGGCUUUGGCAACUCAGGCAAGUGGGGAAAAGCUGGCAAUUCAGGCUUUGGCAACUCAGGCAAUUCAGGUUUUGGCAGUAUGGGAAGUUCAGGUUUAGGAAAGGUGGAGACUUCAGGUAAUGGUGGAAGCUCAACUUUAGGCAAUGAUGGCAACUCAGGCUUGGGAAGCUCAGGUACCUCAGGCAAUUCUGUCUCCAGAAGGUGUCGUGCAUCUACAGAGAUUGAUAGAGUGAUGAGUGAGAGCAUAAUGAUGAGGGAAGAGCGAAGAUCGGCCAUAAUGCUAU
rnacentral:lncRNA from 1 species